rnacentral:rRNA from 1 species
GGGUUAGUAGGUUGGUCAUGCCUCUGGUAUGAACUGGUUUUACUGAUUCCUCCCUCUUGAAGAAUUGUAAUGCCAUUAAUUUGGUGUUGCAGGGAAUCAGGACUGUUACUUUGAAAAAAUUAGAGUGUUUAAAGCAAGCUAACGCUUGAAUACAUUAGCAUGGAAUAAUGAAAUAGGACGUUCGAUCCUAUUUUGUUGGUUUCUAGGAUUGACGUA